CCUACGGGGUGCAGCAGUGAGGAAUAUUGGUCAAUGGUCGGGAGACUGAACCAGCCAAGCCGCGUGAGGGAUGAAGGUACAGAGUAUCGUAAACCUCUUUUGUCAGGGAACAAAGGCGGGGACGUGUCCCCGGAUGAGUGUACCUGAAGAAAAAGCAUUGGCUAACUCCGUGCCAGCAGCCGCGGUAAUACGGAGGAUGCGAGCGUUAUCCGGAUUUAUUGGGUUUAAAGGGUGCGUAGGCGGGAUGCCAAGUCAGCGGUAAAAAUGCGGUGCUCAACGCCGUCGAGCCGUUGAAACUGGCGUUCUUGAGUGGGCGAGAGGUAUGCGGAAUGCGUGGUGUAGCGGUGAAAUGCAUAGAUAUCACGCAGAACUCCGAUUGCGAAGGCAGCAUACCGGCGCCCUACUGACGCUGAGGCACGAAAGCGUGGGUAUCGAACAGGAUUAGAUACCCCAGUAGUC
rnacentral:rRNA from 1 species